CCCUUAGAUGUUCUGGGCAGCACGCGCGCUACAAUGGUCUUCGCAAACGGAUGCAUUCUCGAAGGAGAAUGCCAAUCUUGGAAUCUAUGCCUUGGUCGGGACAGUUGCUUGCAAUUUUUCGACUCGAACCAGGAAUUCCUUGUAAUCGUGAUUCAUCACAUCACGAUGAAUACGUCCCUGCCCUUUGUACACACCGCCCGUCGCUCCUACCGAUCGAAGAGUUAGGUGAAUUGUUUUGAUCGAUAAGAUUUGACUAUGGUCAACUCUCGUUGUGAAAUUCUGUGAAUCUGAAUGUUUAGAGGAAGGAAAAGUCGUAACA
rnacentral:rRNA from 1 species